rnacentral:ncRNA from 1 species
GUCGCUACUUCUUAGAGGGACUUUGUGUGUUUAACACAAGGAAGCUUGAGGCAAUAACAGGUCUGUGAUGCCCUUAGAUGUUCUGGGCUGCACGCGCGCUACACUGACACGAUCAACAAGUAUUUCCUUGCCCGGUAGGGUUAGGGUAAUCUUUUGAAAUCGUGUCGUGCUAGGGAUAGACGAUUGCAAUUAUUCGUCUUCAACGAGGAAUUCCUAGUAAAUGCAAGUCAUCAGCUUGCGUUGAUUACGUCCCUGCCCUUUGUACACACCGCCCGUCGCUCCUACCGAUUGAGUGAUCCGGUGAGCUGUCCGGACUGCGAUUAGUUCAGUUUCUGUUCUCUUCGCGGGAAGUUCUGCAAACCUUAUCACUUAGAGGAAGGAGAAGUCGUAACAAGGUUUCCGUAGGUGAACCUGCGGAAGGAUCAUUC